ensembl:lncRNA ANK2-AS1 ANK2 antisense RNA 1
UGGCCGCUGUGAAAAAGCUGGCUGCAGCGGUGCGGCCGGGAUUGCACACUCCAUGGGGCCAGAGGGAGCCCAGAACAGGGGGAGCCCCAACCCCACCGAGUUUGCAUCAGGAGCCCACGCUCUCGGUCAGGCUGCAGCCACACAGCCACAGCUCCAAACCCAGGACAAAAAUAGGAGCUAAAUGAGGAGAGGAAAAAAAACAGAGAAGACAUUUCUAUGAAGAAUGCAAGUUCUCUACAGAAAACUAGCUAGGGAAAUUUAGACCAAUUUGUUAAUCUUUCUAAACUUCAUUGCCUUUUCCUACAAAGUGAAAUAAUGAAAUUUUCCUGAGGAUAAAGGAGAUAAUCCAUUUGCACUUCCUGAUGCAUAGAAAGCACUUAAUAAAUUCUGAAUGCUACUGCUAUUGUUGAUUUCCAGUGGGAAGAUGGAGGAAGCAGCAGCUCUGGUCCAAGUUCAACUAUAUUAUCUCUUCCUUCCUUUUACUUCAUUUUCCCUCUCUUCACAGAAAUCUUACAAUUCUGUUUUUUGAUGUGUGAUUAUCUAAAUGGAAUACCAGGUAGUAUGUUAAUUUAGUAACAAAAGAAAGUAGGCCUUUUGGGUUAGCAUUUGAUGCUGUAGUUGAUUCAAUCCCUCUCACUCUUUACAUUAGACACAGGAAAUUAGCAGGUCCCCCUUUAAUGGAAAACAUUUUCUUGCUAAAUCUGUAUUGCUUUCCAAUUUAGGCCCUUGUCAUUGUGUUCCCACAAAUAACACAAUUUAACAGUGCAUGGGUGGAUUCUCUAGAGACUGAGAAGGUUCAUGAAAAUAUUCAUAAGAGAGGUGUGUCAUUUCCCCUCAGCACUACCCACUGCACCCAAUUUAGAAAGACAAACUCCCAGCAGAUGGGUCUCCUGGCCUCUUUCCAAUACAUAAUUUAAAUUGUUUUUCAAAGACACUACAAAUCAAAAGCUGACUGAUGCUGCAAACAAUUUAUGUGUUUCAGAGAAUCAAGUGACAAGGUCAGUGUACAGCACUGCUUUAAUUAUUAUGCCUUUUAAUGACUUGCUUUUUAGUGUGAUAGCUUGUAGAAUGAGUAGUUUCGGGUUUUCUUGGAUUGUAAUAAAACAUUCCUUACUUUCCGCCAUCUAUCCAGUCAGAUGGACUGUGGCUAACCCCUAACAACAAUGCAGUGGCCCACAUGAAAUGUUUCAGGUUUUAAUUCAGCUCCUUAAUGGAGAACCAGCUACUUUACACAACCCAUCACCCAAAGUAUGACCAUUUGGACUGAAGAAACAAUAGCUAGAAGUGGCCUUGCAUCUGCAUUAUUUAACAUUUCAGUCACUAUCCUAAAUUACAGCAGAAGAAACAUGCUUAUUAAGUUUGCAUAGAAAGCCAGGCUGGGAAGGAAGGCAGAGGAUAGCAUCUGAGAAAACACUUACCAGCUCUCUAUGAUCAUGUCCAUUUUGAUCCUUUAUCAAAAGCAAUGCAACUGAACUCAGUAAAGAGAGAACAGACAGCAGGAUGGAAAGAGAAGAUGGAACAGCGCUGAACUAGUCAGAAGCUCUGCAGUCAAAGACUUAACUCUGCCAUUUGCUACAUACACGAACAUCUUGAGCACAUCACUUUGCUUUUAUAUCUUAGUAUAUCUUAAUUUGCCAACUAUAAAGAGUGAUAAAAAUGCUCUGCCACGCCUAUUUGCUAGAGUUUUGUGAAAAUUAAACUGCAUCUUCUUAAUUUUC